AGACCAUCUUUCUGGGAUAUGAGCUUCCCAUUUUGAAGACAUUUGUCAAAUUUCACUUCUGCAGAUGGAGGUCGAAAUUGAAUUGCUGCUGACUGUUGUCCCUUGUUAUGGCCUGUGGAGAUAUGACAAUUGAGGAAGAACUUAGAGGAAUGCCAAGUAACAGAGCAUAAAGCUGUGGGUGUGGCCCACUGCCUUGGACAUUUUAUGGCUGAUAGCACUUGGCAAGGAAAAAAUGCAGCCUUGAAAGUAGCCUUGCAAAUAGAUUUCAAUAUCAGCCAUGCCUCCACAGUCACCUCUAUUUGAUAUGACCUGUAAUAUAUGCUUUGUCAAAAUCCACUCUUCUAAUACUCACCUACUUCACUGGUCCCCUUGCAAACUGCCUAAAUAACUAAAUAAAUAACACUUGAAGAAUUUCUUUGUUUCAUUACACAUUUGGGCACAGAUAGUACAGGCAAGGCACAUGAAACCCUUUGUCCAUCUACUUUCAA